GUCCAGGGGCGGGAAUCGAACCCACGCCCUUCUGCUUACCGGGCAGGUGCCAUGUCCACUCGGCUACCCUGGA
rnacentral:tRNA from 1 species